UCUAUCUGACAGCAGUUCCCUUCCAGUUCUUCUUCUUCCCUUCGUCUUCCUCUUCAUUUCACCAGUUCACUUCUUCAGUUCUUCUUCUUCAGCCCAGUCGACGACGGCGGCUUCGACCACUCCAGUAGAGUCCAGAUUCGUCUCAGCCUAGACGAUGACUUUGAUAACUUCAGUUUGUUUAUUCGUUCUUCAGUUCAUUCAUUCAGCGCAUCAGCUCACCGUGGAUGCCACAACACAACUCUUGUCUCUUCGGAUUGGUCUCUUCGUUCGUUCAACUUAAAUAUUCAAGAGGAGAGACUAAAGCAUGGGACAUUGCUGGAGAUAGUUUUGAUUCUUUUGAAGAUGUUGGUAUGUUGGAAGUAGCCAAUUUAUCCUUAGAUGAACCAGAGUUAGAGGCUGAUAUUUUGGAAGAUCAUGGUGGUGGUGAAAGUGAUGAUGAUGUUAUGAUGAUUUAAGAUUUGAGUGUUCCAAGUUUUUCUAUUUUCUAGUCUUUAUGUUACUAAUUUGGUUUGUACUAAGAACUUUGUGGUAGGACAGAGUGAUAAUAUUUCAAGUUUCUCUAGUUUGUCUUUGUAUUAAGAACUUUUAUGUUAUUAAUUUGAUAUCUUAUGUUUUGGACUACAUUUUAGUAUCUUUCUUUAUGGUUAAAUUUAUAUAUA